UACGGAGGGGGCUAGCGUUGUUCGGAAUUACUGGGCGUAAAGCGCACGUAGGCGGCUUUGUAAGUUAGAGGUGAAAGCCCGGGGCUCAACUCCGGAAUUGCCUUUAAGACUGCAUCGCUUGAAUCCGGGAGAGGUGAGUGGAAUUCCGAGUGUAGAGGUGAAAUUCGUAGAUAUUCGGAAGAACACCAGUGGCGAAGGCGGCUCACUGGACCACAACUGACGCUGAGGCGCGAAAGCUAGGGGAGCAAACAGG
rnacentral:rRNA from 1 species